rnacentral:rRNA from 1 species
AUUGAACGCUGGCGGCAGGCCUAACACAUGCAAGUCGAGCGGAUGAAGGGAGCUUUCUCCUGGAUUCCGCUGCGGACGGGUGAGUAAUGCCUAGGAAUCUGCCUUGUCGUUGGGGAUAACGUCCGUAAACGGGCCCUAAUACCGCAUACGUCCUGAGGUUGAACGUGGUGGUUCUUCGGACCUCACGCUAUUUGCUGAGCCUAGUUCGGAUUAGCUAGUUGGUGGGGUAAAGGCCUACCAAGGCGACUAUCCGUAACUGGUCUGAGAGGAUGAUCAGUCACACUGGAACUGAGACACGGUCCAGACUCCUACGGGAGGCAGCAGUGGGGAAUAUUGGACAAUGGGCGAAAGCCUGAUCCAGCCAUGCCGCGUGUGUGAAGAAGGUCUUCGGAUUGUAAAGCACUUUAAGUUGGGAGGAAGGGCAGUAAGUUAAUACCUUGCUGUUUUGACGUUACCAACAGAAUAAGCACCGGCUAACUUCGUG